UGUCGAUGGCGCCUUCCUCAACGACUAUUCAGCCUUCUGCUAUGCUUGUCAGACAGCAGCAGAUCGCUUUACACCUAAUUUGGUGGAGCGCGUAAAAACUGAUCCGGGCACCUCUUUCGGUGCUGCCACUUGUGGCUUCUCCGCGCUGGUGCCCCACGGCCUCGAUCCCUUUGUGGGAUUCUAGUCGCGUAACAGGGGAAACAGCUCAAGCUCUCCGUUUUGAGAAACCUGCGCCGCAGCCACCUGUCUUCUGAGACUCUUGUACAGCAAGGGUUACAGCACAGGAGCAAGUUCUCCGUUUCGAGAUACCGGACUCUGUACCGCCGCCAAUGCUGGAUCCGAUCGAUGAAGGAAAUCACACCGCUUAUGGUGUGUACAAUGGAAAACCAGUGCGUUACUGGUGCAAACUAAUCGAUAAUGAUCCAGAUCGAUCACAGGCCGUUUCGCCUGACAGAUAAACAAAUCAAAUUCAGAAACCGUAGGUACGGCUCUGCUAUCAUUCAAAGUGCGAUUCGCGGUGAAUCCAAGGGCGAAGAUCUCGGCGGACAAGAUCCCGCUUAGUGAGCAAUGCUAUAAGUAUUGCGAACGGUGCUACAACACACGACAUACGAUAGCUAUUGCAAACUUUACUGACUGUUGACAAGUGAAAACUCUCAGCUAGCGGACUGUUCUCAUAUCAGCAUUCACAUCCGCAUUCGCCACGUGGUGAGCACCUGACAGACAGAAUCGGCUCUAAGAGUGUGCACAGAAACGGAAACUGGGAUUUUGGACAUGCAUCCAUGCAUUCUAAUAAAUACGAGCGUAUUCCUGGCCGGCCGGAAUGGAAACAACUGCUUUUCAGUGAAUCUUUUGUAAUGUUUGGACGCAUCCGUGUGGUAUCUCCGGCGACAAUUGAAGUGGUAGCCGACGUCGUAGUUGUUCGUAAGACUACUCCGCUUAGUUCAGACUGGAUAAUAAAACCAUGCCUAAAGAAACGGUUACGCGUUUAAUGGGUUUGGAUAAAUUCGAUACCACCUUUGCUUUACAAAAGUUGUGGGACACAGAUCCAGCGAUGUGUCACUCUGCUACAGAGAAGAUGGAAGCCCGAUAUCAGUCUAUCGUUGCAGAAUGCAAAAAAGUCAUUGGAGAUUUGGAAGCGGAACAGGAUGCUGCAUUUGUAUUUUGUGGAUACGGACAACUGGUUUGAUGAGAACGGAGACUAAAGCACUCAGCGACAAAAGUAAUUGCUGGGUAUUUUCCGAUUUGUAACAGAACUGGUGGAACACACACUAGUCAAGCGGGAAAAAGCUAUGCGCCAUUCUGACGGCUUGCUGAGAUUUUGCGGAGUUUUUAAGAAUAUCUCUACGGCUGCGUAUACUUACUCUCGGAGCUUCUUGUUUGAAAUUUUACCUCACAUCAGUCACUUGCGGGACUGUGCUUCGGCUAACUCCAUGAGUGAAGGUAUUCAAGAAGAAAAUAUGCUGAAACUUAAGACAAUUUCCGAAUCCCUCGACGACAAGCACCUGGAUGUCGAGCUGAUUAGUGGCCAGACAUUCACAGUUGAAAAACUGGAGUACCGAGGAGGGGAAAUAGUCGGAGUUGCAGAGAAUCAACAGGAUGUUGUUGCAGCUAAAUAUGGGCUGCUAUUGGUUUUGCAAAGCUUCACAGGCAAAGUCAGAAAGAUUUUGACAUACUAUUUUGUGAAAAAUUUUGAAGGCUCGGAAAUGGCAGAAAUUCUUGAAAAUUUGCUGAUCCUGCGUACAAGAAGAACGAAAUUUCGGCCUUUGGUUUGCUCAUCUGACAACGGCGCCGAAAACAUGGGAUGCCAUUCUCUUUUUAUCAGUAACAAAAAUUAGUUUCCUUGGAGAUUUCCAAAUCCUUGCAUAGAAGGCGCAUACAUUUAUAUCCUGUUGUACAUAAUUCAUUUGUUGAAGCGGAUUUGGACAAACUGUGUUUCGAAAAAAUAACUCUUUUGUCAUCGAAGCUGGCAUUCAUCGGGUGGAUUUGACGCUGCUUUUCCAGAUUUACGAAAUAGAACGCGGUUCCGUGAUUAAGAAUGCUCCAAACCUCACAGCAAAGCUGUUCUUCCCAAACGGAUUUGAGAAGAUGGAUGUUUCUAACGCCAGAAAGAUAUUCUGUUCGCACCGUACUCUGGGUACAUUAAGGAUGUUAACUGAUAAUACGGAUCACGGUUUGCUCACAGAGCUAUCCAGGAUAUGUGGAAAAAAUCAGGAACAAUGUGCUAAUGAUUUUAACGUGCUGGUGUGGUUCAUCGAAACCGUGCGGAAAAUUGUUAUGCCCCUUACGGUGUUGAGCCCUCGCCAAGCGGCACGGUUAAAACAGCCACUGUACGAGGCAAUUACGAGUACUAUGGAAAAUAUCGAUACCGUAUUUUCUAAUAUGAAAGCAGCUCUUGCUGAACUUUGCUUUUCCGCUAACUGGAGGAAAUCACUACCUAAACCGACGUGGACUGGUCUGCACGUUACUGUAUACGGCUUUAAAGUUGUAGCAAGGCACUUGCUGAAUUCUCGGUUCGAUUUCAUCCUACCCGGGAAAAUGACUAGCGAUCCAGUUGAGAGAAUAUAUUUUAAACAUUUAAGUAUGGUUCCGGUAAAGUGACUGUCGUGAAAGUCAAGGAAGAAGUGAGAAAACUGGAGUCGCUGCAAAAUUUGACGGGUACGACAAACGUGAGCCGAUUGGGGCGUCAAAAACGGAAAAACAAUGGUCUUUCUUUCCAUACGUCUCCGCUGGAAAAGAGGCGCACGACUGGCCGAUCGCUACGCAGAGCGGUAUUUGAUUUUGGAGCAGAUCUUGAGAGUUGAGCUUGUGCGGAACUUCGGAGAUGUAUUGUUGGCUUUGCGUUCAGAAAAUUUUUUGGAGCUGCAGAAAGAAAUCCCUACGUUAUGGAGCUCACCAGAAAUAGUUGAAUUGGUUUGUAAGAGCCCGCAGAGCGUCCGUAGUACGUAAUAAAUUAGGUAUACCUUGCAUUUGCUUAUAUGUACGCUACGAGGACACGCUAAGUACGAGGAGAAAGCUAAUAUCUUCGGUAGCGCGUUCAAAUUCCUGAGACUCUUCGAACACUGUGGCACUGACUGUGCGCAUGCACGAUUUGACUAAACAGUCAACCGUAGGAGGUUGCCAGUCUCCGUUUAGCUAGAACGGUGUUGAUUGGCGCACCUAUCCACGGCGGACGGUCAAGUUAAGAGGAUUGACAGCCUUCUUCGGUUGGCUGUUAAAGUCAAAUGUGCAUGGGCCAAGUGUUCGAAAUGACUCGGGAUUUUGACUGCGCUACCGAAGAUAUUAGCUUUCUCCUCGUAUACGUGAUAGACAGCGAGAAUGGAGUGAUUGGUUUAAGCCCUCGCCCUCUAUCCCCCCGGACGCAAACUACGCACUACGGACUUAACUAGUGCUAACAAGUACCACUUUGGUACACUGCGCAUGGUCAAGAUAUUGGGUUUUUUCACUUCGCGAAUGCAUCAAAAUGUAUGGCAAAUAUAUCUCUUUUAUACUCCAAUGAUGGCGUACUAGGUGUUUAAUAUAAAAGUUUCGUGAAAUGUUCGCCAUAACUUUGCUCUUACUUGACUACAACGCCUCAGAUUCUAUGAUACUGGGUUGGCUUGGCUCAAGCCAUGUUUACCCAGUAAGCGCUAUGGCAAAGUUCACCGUAAAGGCGUAAACUGCCGCACUUUAGCCACGCCCCAGCCUUUAGCCCCGCCCCAACGCGUUAGACCAAUUACUCCAUUAAUGAUAACCAUGCCCUGCUCGUGCAACGCGGGCAACCACCCAGGUUUGCAGUUGCUUGUAAACACAUAAAAAAUAACUGACUGAAAAUUAUGCAAACUUCCAGCGCUCAUUUCUCGUGCACUCUGGAAUAGGACUACUCAACCAAUAUACCAGAAGACGCAGCAAAAAAUAACGCGAUUUUUGAUACCAAAUAAGUGAGAAUAUACGCCGAUCCAAACAGAUUACAGCUAGUUUCGUUUUCUCAUAGCCUUAGCAUAGAAUCCACGCUCAAGGGUUCCCCACACAGAAUCCUGUGCUAUGUCUACGAGAAACUCAAAAAGGCUAUCAUCUGUCUUAAUCGCUAUGAAUUGCAACUUGUUGGGUAUCAAAAAUCUUCUAGAUUUUUUCUGCAUCUUUUGCUACAUUGGUCAAAUAGUUUCGUUCCAUAGUACACGAAGAAUAAGAGCUGGAAGUUAGCAUACGAGUCUAUGAAGACGAGAUGUUUUCUACACAGUACGUGGACCGCCAACCCUUGGUGGCUGGGUGUGCUGCACAACACGUGAUUGGUUAUCAUUAAAUCUCGCUGGUUUUUUUGUCUAUCACGUAUACUUAGCGUGUCCUCUUAAGUUUUUGUUCUUGUCCUUCUAAGUUUUCUUAGAAAUCGUGGCAUUCGGUUUGACCGACGUGGGUGGAUAUAUUGUUUCCAAAGUCCAGAAACGAAAGUUUCCUCGUCCUUCAUGCAAAUCUGGUGUCGGGAACGUAUUUGGGGUUAGCUUCGCGGACAACGAUGACUGGUUGUAGCAAGAUCGCGUGUUGACUUCGGCGGCUUAAGUGUACCCUCACAGCAGAUUAACAUGCUGUUGCAGUAUGGAUUAGGAUUUUUUGAACAAUUACAAAACAUCAGCGGUUUUUACAAUGGAGGUCGGCAUUUGGAAAGAACAUUGAAAUUGAUUUUGUCGUCAAUGGAAAUUCAUGGCUUUCAUCCUUUGAGUUAUAUCUGUGUUUGUGGGUUUGUGGUUCUUUAGCUAUUUAGAAUACGAGUGUCUCAAGAGAUUUUUUAAUACUGCCUUUAAGAACGAUGUUAGAGAGUGACGAGCCGAAGCGCUGAAGCGAAAAUAUAGGGCUUGGAAGGCUGUACCGAUGAUAUCAGAUCCUGGUAAACUUGAAAAACUGAAGCAGCUCCAGAAAUUUUCCAAGUUGUUUCCACAGAUAUAUAUGUAAAUUCGUACUCUCGUAAAAGUGAGUAACCUUGCAGUAAUAAUGUGCACCUUAAAAUCACAUAAAAAAUCGGAGGCAGU